rnacentral:sRNA from 1 species
CGCCUAACCCUUGUGGGCUAAACCUCCGAGGUAUGGCAUCAAAAUCCUCCGCAACAUAGAUGGUCGCCUGACCAUACUUCUGUUGCGGAGGUCUAUCCCGAAAGGGAUAGGGUGUUCCUUUGGGAUACC